rnacentral:rRNA from 1 species
GAUUAACGCUAGCGGCAGGCAUAAUACAUGCAAGUUGAACGGCAGCACAGGUAGCAAUACUGGGUGGCGAGUGGCGCACGGGUGCGUAACACGUAUGCAACCUACCCUAUACAGGCGAAUAACCUUUAGAAAUGAGGGCUAAUACGCCGUAGUAUUACAGAUGGGCAUCUAUUUGUAAUUAAAGAUUUAUCGGUAUAGGAUGGGCAUGCGUCCCAUUAGUUAGUUGGUAAGGUAACGGCUUACCAAGACGAUGAUGGGUAGGGGAUCUGAGAGGACUUACCCCCACAAUGGUACUGAGACACGGACCAGACUCCUACGGGAGGCAGCAGUAAGGAAGAUUGGGCAAUGGCCGCGAGGCUGACCCAGCCAUGCCGCGUGCAGGAAGACGGCCUUAUGGGUUGUAAACUGCUUUUAUACGGGAAUAAUAGAGUGUACGCGUACAUUUAUGCAAGUAUCGUAUGAAUAAGCAGCGGCUAACUCCGUG